GACGAACCGUGCGAACGUUAUUCGGAAUCACUGGGCUUAAAGCGCGUGUAGGCGGACAGGCACGUCGGCCGCUGAAAUCCCCCGGCUCAACCGGGGAACGGGCACCGAUACGACUUGUCUGGAGGGGAGUAGGGGGACCUGGAACUUCCGGUGGAGCGGUGAAAUGCGUUGAGAUCGGAAGGAACGCCCGUGGCGAAAGCGAGGUCCUGGGCUCUCUCUGACGCUGAGACGCGAAAGCCAGGGGAGCGAACGGG
rnacentral:rRNA from 1 species